AAGGUGUGUGUAGAAGGUAGAAGGUGUGUGUAGAAGGUAGAAGGUGUGUGUAGAUGGUAGAAGGUGUGUGUAGAUGGUAGAAGGUGUGUGUAGAUGGUAGAAGGUGUGUGUAGAUGGUAGAAGGUGUGUGUAGAAGGUAGAAGGUGUGUGUAGAUGGUAGAAGGUGUGUGUACCUGGUAGAAGGUGUGUGUAGAAGGUAGAAGGUGUGUGUAGAAGGUAGAAGGUGUGUGUAGAAGGUAGAAGGUGUGUGUAGAUGGUAGAAGGUGUGUGUAGAAGGUAGAAGGUGUGUGUAGAAGGUGUGUGUAGAUGGUAGAAGGUGUGUGUAGAUGGUAGAAGGUGUGUGUAGAUGGUAGAAGGUGUGUGUAGAAGGUAGAAGGUGUGUGUAGAUGGUAGAAGGUGUGUGUAGAUGGUAGAAGGUGUGUGUAGAUGGUAGAAGGUGUGUGUAGAUGGUAGAAGGUGUGUGUAGAAGGUAGAAGGUGUGUGUACCUGGUAGAAGGUGUGUGUAGAAGGUAGAAGGUGUGUGUAGAUGGUAGAAGGUGUGUGUAGAUGGUAGAAGGUGUGUGUAGAUGGUAGAAGGUGUGUGUAGAUGGUAGAAGGUGUGUGUACCUGGUAGAAGGUGUGUGUAGAUGGUAGAAGGUGUGUGUAGAUGGUAGAAGGUGUGUGUAGAAGGUAGAAGGUGUGUGUAGAAGGUAGAAGGUGUGUGUAGAAGGUAGAAGGUGUGUGCAGAUGGUAGAAGGUGUGUGUAGAUGGUAGAAGGUGUGUGUAGAAGGUAGAAGGUGUGUGCAGAUGGUAGAAGGUGUGUGUAGAUGGUAGAAGGUGUGUGUAGAAGGUAGAAGGUGUGUGUAGAAGGUAGAAGGUGUGUGCAGAUGGUAGAAGGUGUGUGUAGAUGGUAGAAGGUGUGUGUAGAUGGUAGAAGGUGUGUGUAGAUGGUAGAAGGUGUGUGCAGAUGGUAGAAGGUGUGUGUAGAAGGUAGAAGGUGUGUGUAGAAGGUAGAAGGUGUGUGCAGAUGGUAGAAGGUGUGUGUAGAUGGUAGAAGGUGUGUGUAGAUGGUAGAAGGUGUGUGUAGAAGGUAGAAGGUGUGUGUAGAAGGUAGAAGGUGUGUGUAGAAGGUAGAAGGUGUGUGUAGAAGGUAGAAGGUGUGUGCAGAUGGUAGAAGGUGUGUGUAGAUGGUAGAAGGUGUGUGUAGAUGGUAGAAGGUGUGUGUAGAAGGUAGAAGGUGUGUGUAGAAGGUAGAAGGUGUGUGUAGAUGGUAGAAGGUGUGUGUAGAAGGUAGAAGGUGUGUGUAGAUGGUAGAAGGUGUGUGCAGAUGGUAGAAGGUGUGUGUAGAAGGUAGAAGGUGUGUGUAGAAGGUAGAAGGUGUGUGUAGAAGGUAGAAGGUGUGUGUAGAUGGUAGAAGGUGUGUGUAGAUGGUAGAAGGUGUGUGUAGAUGGUAGAAGGUGUGUGUAGAUGGUAGAAGGUGUGUGUAGAUGGUAGAAGGUGUGUGUAGAAGGUAGAAGGUGUGUGUAGAUGGUAGAAGGUGUGUGUAGAUGGUAGAAGGUGUGUGUAGAAGGUAGAAGGUGUGUGUACCUGGUAGA